rnacentral:rRNA from 1 species
AUUGGACGCUGGCGGCGUGCUUUACACAUGCAAGUCGAACGGCAGCAUGGUUACUUUCGGGUAACUGAUGGCGAGUGGCGGACGGGUGAGUAAUGCAUCGGGACAUGUCUAUUUGAGGGGGAUAACUCAUCGAAAGAUGAGCUAAUACCGCAUACUGUCUGAGGACGAAAGCUGGGGACCGGCAACGGCCUGGCGUAAAUAGGCUGCCCGAUGUCCGAUUAGCUAGUUGGUGAAGUAAAGGUUUACCAAGGCGAUGAUCGGUAGCUGUUCUGAGAGGAAGAUCAGCCACACUGGGACUGAGACACGGCCCAGACUCCUACGGGAGGCAGCAGUGGGGAAUAUUGGACAAUGGGGGCAACCCUGAUCCAGCAACGCCGCGUGAAUGAAGAAGGCCUUAGGGUUGUAAAGUUCUUUUGUCUGAGAGCAAAGUUCUGCUGAGAAUAUCGGUGGGACGUGAGAGUAUCAGAAGAAUAAGCACCAGCUAACUACGUGCCAGCCGCCGCAGUAA